AAAAAGGUCAUUACCCAGUUAUGUCCCUGAUAAUCCAGGGUCCUGAGUGGGGUGAACUGGGGAUAGGCCUAAGCUUUGUUUUACUUUUUCUUUACAAAGUGGCUGGGCAUAACUCCAACACGUGCCAUUUCACAUGUUAACCCAGGUCUUUACCAUUGCACCAAGCAACUUGACUGAGAUCAACAUGAGGAAACAACAUCUCAUAGCAUUUGAAUAGUGCAUAGUGUUUUGAGCACCUAUGAACAUUAUUUCAGCAUGAAAUACCAUGGGCUAUUAUUUAUAUCAACGGAUGCUAAUUAACAUAAUAAAUUAGAAAACAGAUCAAAUCUCUAUAGCAGUUCAAAAUAAUAUAUUUUAUAACUACAAAAAGUAAUUAUUCACAAAUUUAUAUUCCUGAACCUAACACGAGUAAAUAAUGUUAUUUUUCUUAUUAUUUAGUACCAUGCCCAUUUAAAGCUUGAUAAGCACAUGCAUAGUAUUUGUAUUUUACUUUUUUGAGUAAAUGAUAACUAUCACAUCAGAUGAUUUAUCAAAUGCUCUUAAGAUUAGUCGAUGUAAUAUUCUGUUUUUUUUCCUUCUAUUUCUCAGGCAAAGGAUAGAUUCUAGCCUAAACUAUUCUUGUUGUUACUACUUGAGCAUGGUAGAGUGCUUGAUAACUGGUCAGGAAGGAGCGUGAUAGGUUAUGAGAUGCUGGUUCUAUAGGUUCCACCAGUUGUAAAGGAAUAGAAGGAUAGGCUUGUAGAGAGUCCAUGUUAAGAAGGAACAUGGGAAUACAAAAUAAAAUAUUCUCAGUAAUAUUAUUUUUUAAGAAACUCCCCUUUUGUUUUGUACGAGGGUUGGGGUGGGUUAAUGGCUAACAUAAAACUAUAGUCACAUCGUAUGGACAUGAAUCUAUAUAAAAGAAGCUGACACACUACAUUGGACCCUGGGUGUAAUGAAAAGUGUGCAAGAGUUGACUAGGGUGUUUCUCAGAAGCGACUCACCAUAUCGAUCCUUAGAUGUGGGGAGAAGUAGGCAAGGGUUCUCAGUAAGGUCCGCCGUACCAAUCGUACCGAUGUACCGGUGGGCACCGGUACCGUUACGGUACCGAACCGAAUCGGUACCAUUUUGGGCUAACGGAGCAGCGAAGUUCGGAAGCGGACAAAGAAAACAAUGCGCGUACGUGUGCGCACGCAUCUGCGUUAAAUGACAUCUCUAUGGCAUUAAAUGGCCCACGCGGGUUGCCUCGGGGAACCGCGCCCGCGCGCAUGGUUCCCUGCGCGGGGAAUCGUGCGCAGGAGUGAGUUGGGCGCGAUUUUUUGCGCGAGGAACCGACUGCUGGCGUGGUUCACUGCUCGCGCUCGCUGCCCCGUGCGGGGGCGGUUCCUAGCGCUGGGAACCGCACGCGACCGCGUGGAACCGCAUCAUCUUCCCUUGCCCUUCCACAUCACCGCCUCCCCUACCCCAGCUCAUCCCUUCGAACUGUCCACUCCGUUCGGGGCCUUCUUCUGUGGGGCCACCUCCCCAGUUGCCAAAGGAGGCGCCGUCGUCGGGAGCCCCAACGACAGGCUGCUCCUCACCAUUCUCGAAGCUACCCCCUCUCCCUCAUCGCCGGCAAGGGAUGACCGUGCGAGCGCCGUCCCAAAGGGAGGAGGGCUUAGGGCCCUCGUGCCGUUGCGGUCACUGUGCCACCUCCGCCUCCCCUCCACCGAAGAGGAAGAAGAUGAGCCCGGUACCAGCCCUGUUCGCACCGGUACGAAGGUGGAACUGCUCGGUUCCAGCCUCGAAGGGGCCGGAACCAUUUUUUAAGCCUGUACUGAACCGGUCAGGGGUGGUACCUGUCCGGUACAAGGCUAAAUUGGCUGAUAUGGGCUUUGGUUCGCACUUUUUAAUGGGCAGGUGUAGGUAAAAAAGUUGGUCUAUGAAAAUACGAUACAUUUAAUAAUAUGGAAUAUAGGGUUCUUGAUAAGAAAAUUGAUGGAACAAUGUCUAGAGGAGAGUUAACAUAGCUUGCAUGCAUGAGACUAAGAGUAUGGAAGAGAAGUUAAGGAAGUUGGUAAAAUAGGUUAUAAACUUUAGUAUACCAGGCAAGAUAGAAAUAUAAAUGGAGUAGGACUAUUCUAGAUAAGAGUUUAAAAGAUGAGGUUAUAGAUAUUAAGAGAGUAGGAGAUAGAAUAGUGAUAAAAUUAGUGUUAGGGACGAGUCCAUUAAUAUCAGUAGUGCUUGUGCUCCUCAAGUAGGAUCGGAUGAUGCUACAAAGCAACACUUUUGGGAGGAUUUGGAUGGAUCAAUUCAAGGGAUUGCUUAUAGGGAAGAAAUAUUUAUCAAAGGAGAUUUGAAUGAUCAUGUGGGAAAAUAUAAUAUAGAUUUUGAAAGGUGCAUGGGGGCCAUGGUUUCGGAGAUAGAAAUGAGGAAGGAGAUGUCAUUUUGGAGUUCAUGAUGGCAUAUAACCUAUUAUUAGCUAACAUUUGCUUUAAAAAGAAGGAUUCUCACUUGAUAACUUUUAAAAGUAAGUAAAAUACUAGUCAAAUAGAUUUCUUUCUCACGAGAAAGACAUUAACAAGUCUGAUCAAGUUUUAUCUAAAGAUUGUAAGUUUAUACCGAGUGAGAUUUAAUAACCAUCAUAGAUUGAUAGAUUUGGAUGUGUGUAUUAGGAAAUGGAAUAGGACUAAGAGAAUAAGAACUCGAGGACUAGGUUGUGGAACUUGCGAGGAGAGAAACAAAUGACUUUUAAAGAUAUAGAAUAUUUGAAGAAGAAAAUAAGAUCUAGAUGGGGAAAUCAAUAUCAUAUGGGACGAGAUAGUUAACAAUAUUAAUAUGGGACGAGAUAGUUAACAAUAUUAAAAAAGUGGCACAGAGAUAUCAGAAGAAUCCACGUAAAAAUGGCUAUCUACCAUGCAAACUUGGUAGUGGUAUAGAAAAAUCCAGUAGCACUUGACUACCUAAUUAUAGGAAUAGAGAAGCGUAUGAGAGCUAUAAGAUGUCUAAGAAGGGAGUUAAGAAGGUAGUACAAGAAGCUAGAUUCAGAAUGUACUAUCAUAAGUUAGAAACUAAUGGUGGCGAGAAAAAUAUCUAUAAGAUUGCAAGACUAAGAGAGUAAAACUAGAGACUUAGGUUUAAUACAUCAAAGAUGAAAAUCAAAAUAUUUUACUUAAGGAAGACGAGAUCAAAGGAAAAUGAAAAAGUUGUUUCCAGAAGCUAUUCAGUGAAAGUUAUGUAAACGACUUAGGAUGCCUUACUAGUUUCAUUGAGGAUAAAAAUAUUAAAUGUAUAGUAGAAUUAGUGAUGCAAUGCAUGAUGUAGUCGACGGGUACUAUGACCAACGAGACUAUGCUAAGCAUCAGAGGAGCUAGUGGAUUCAUGGUGAAGACUGCAGUAGGCAAAUAUUUGAUUUAUUUCCAUCCAGUGAGCGAGCGUGCGAUUGAAUAGGAUUCAGAAGUUUUUGGCAAAUUUUUUUAUAAAUUUUUCAUUAGGGAUAAUAUCAAAUUUCAGUGAGAUUUCAAUAUGCAAUAGAAUAAUUCUAGUAUGUUUUCUUAUUAUCGUUUUCUAUUUCGAGUAUGAUUCUGUAUCGGGUUUAACAUCCGAAUGAGGGUUAGGGUAUCAUAUCCUAUAAAUAUUGAUGCAGGACGGAAGUACAGAUUGAAAUACAGAGAGAAAGAGGAGAGGAAGAGGGGAAGAAGAAGGGAAAGAGGAAAAGAGGAGGAAGAAGAAGACCAAUUUUUCAUUCAUUAGUUCAUUAAACCCUAAACAUCAGGAUGGACCCAUAUAUAUAGGGUCACAAAAUAACAAAUAACCCCUACAAAUAAAAUAAUUCCAAAAAGCUCCUAAAAUGACAAUAUGCAAAUAAACCCAAAUGACAAUAUGCAAAUAAACCCAAUCAACAUAAAAUAAAUCAAUCUAAAAUAAAAUCAGGCUGGCUGAAUCGGCUAGAACCCGCUGAGCUGGCUGGAUCUUGUGGCGACCGGCUGACCUGGCACUGGUGUCCGCACCAACUCUCCUCGGGUGGAAAGAAGUCGACCUCGACGAAAGUGGCUCGGUAAAGCCCCGGUAGUACUCCAACAAGUCCGGGUCAAUCGGCGGUAUCUCCUCGCGCUGGAUCCAAGUGUAGCCGGACCUUGGUCGUCCUCGCCAACGAACCAGAAAAUGUUGGAUGCCUCCAUCACUGGUAAAAACUAUUUGCUCGGCUAAAAUAGAAUCAAUAUACUCUUUUUGUGCUCGAUGGGGGGUAAAAGGAAACGAAGAUGGCAUGGAAUCAAUAAUAGGAUAAACAUCAGGCGCAGGAGAGUGUGCAGCAAAAGAGUCAUCAGGGAUUGCAACCAAAUCUUUAAUAUUAAUAGUAAGGCUAUGACCGAAAUCAAAUGGAAAGUCAAUGGCAUAGGCGUCAGUGCCAUCCUUGUGCAACACCCUGAAUGGUCCAAUACUAAGAGACUGCAAUUCCUUAAGAUGGAUCAUUACGUAACCCCAAGUUUGAAAUUCUUUAGCACGGNNNNNNNNNNNNNNNNNNNNNNNNNNNNNNNNNNNNNNNNNNNNNNNNNNNNNNNNNNNNNNNNNNNNNNNNNNNNNNNNNNNNNNNNNNNNNNNNNNNNNNNNNNNNNNNNNNNNNNNNNNNNNNNNNNNNNNNNNNNNNNNNNNNNNNNNNNNNNNNNNNNNNNNNNNNNNNNNNNNNNNNNNNNNNNNNNNNNNNNNNNNNNNNNNNNNNNNNNNNNNNNNNNNNNNNNNNNNNNNNNNNNNNNNNNNNNNNNNNNNNNNNNNNNNNNNNNNNNNNNNNNNNNNGAUUUGCUCCUCUAAGUCAUCUAUGUCACCUCCUGCUUUUGCUGAGCAAUAACGAAAAAUUUGUUCGCACAUUGGGAGGUAACGUGACCAAAACCUUGGCAUUUGUAACACCGAAUUUUGGAAUGUGGUUUGGGAGGCUCACCAAGCAUUUCCUUGCCAUUAGUGUCUCGGCCUGUGACAUGGGCAACAGGAGGGGGCCUAUGAGUAGUGGACCCUACAGAAGGUUUGGACCCUAAGGAAUUAAGGCCGGUGGGAGUGCUCCGUGUGUCAGGGCGCCUUACAAAUGUGGACUUAGUGUUCCAUCGAUUUAGGAGAUCGUCUUGGUAGUUAAGGGGCAGGUAUUUUUCUUUAAGUCUCUCUUUCAUCUCUACCCAAUCAGUUACUUCAUGUUGAUGUCUCCUAGCUAACAGAUGUUCGGUACUUUGCCAGAAAAGUUUAGCUCGACCAAUGAGUUUCAUUCUAGCGAAUCGAACUUUUUUGUUCUCAGACAGAUUGUACCACUCAAAGAAGUGGUCCAUUUCGUGUAACCAAUCGGAGAAGACUUUCGGGUCAAGACGACCGUCAAAAGUGGGGGCUUCAACCCUAAUGCCUCGCAUUACAUUUUCAUCAGGGUCACGAGGUUCUCUGGGUUCUACGGUAUGUCGGUGACCUCUAUCAAUAUGAGGAAUGGGACCAGGUCCUCUAGGGCGAGGGUAGGCAUAAUGGUGACCUGGAACAUGCCUAUUAUCAAAGUUGUUUGCUUGGACUUGGGCUUUGGUAUAUUGGACUUGAGCAUUAGUUUUUUGGACUUGGGCAUUAGUGUUUUGGACUUGAGCAUUAGUGUCUUGGAUAGCUUUUAAUAGGGCUUCGAUUUUGGAAUCCAUGCCUAAUUGGGACUCAGGAUGAGAUGCGUCACGACCACUACGUAGAUGCAUAAAAUGAAUGUCAAAAUGUAUGAUCCGACCAACUAUAAAUGUUCCUAAGUAGACCUAAUGCAUGAAAUGAAUUCAAAAUUGCAAAGUAGAUACUCAAUAUAAUCGGAAGCUAACUCAAGCAAUUAAAAUUGGCUUUGAAUUACGUAACAAAUUCAGAUAAGUAGUUGCAGUCAAAUAGUACUAGUUUUCAGUGUGUUGCAGGGUUGCACAGAGCCUCAAAGAACUCCCAAAGAUUAGGUAGCCCUACAAUUAAUAACAAAGAUAGGCUACUACUAGGAUUUUGGUGUCGUUUGGAGUGGAUGUGUUAAAUUUUCAGGAGGCAAUAUCAAUAGAGCACUUAAGAGUUAAUUAAUUCUAAAUUUAGACAAACAAAUAAAAUUUGCAGUAAGGAAGAAACCUGACCUGGGUUGGGGUGACGACCAGAAAACCUGCACAGUAAGUAGGCUUGUCAAACGGCUCCAGUUGGGGUUGAUCUCAGCAACACGGCAGGUCGAAAUGGGCUCUGCAGUGGCGUUGCAGGCCGACGGGCUUGGGCCUGUGAGGAAGAAAUCGGAUUGGGCCCGGUGUUUAGGGCCUGAGAGUCGGGCCCGGUGGAUUCUUUGGGAGUGCGGGCGCGGGCCCGAUGAGAGAAUCGGCU
rnacentral:lncRNA from 1 species